rnacentral:rRNA from 1 species
GACGAACGCUGGCGGCGCGCUUAACACAUGCAAGUCGAACGGAAAGGCCUGCUUUCCCUUGUGGGUUGCGGGUACUCGAGUGGCGAACGGGUGAGUAACACGUGAGUGAUCUGCCCCCAACUUGGGUAUAAGCCUGGGAAACUGGGUCUAAUUCCCGAUAGGACUGCAGGGUGGUGCCUGUGGUGGAAAACGAUUUUCUAGUGGUUGGGGAUGAGCUCGCGGCCUAUCAGCUUGUUGGUGGGGUAAUGGCCUACCAAGGCGGCGACGGGUAGCCGGCCUGAGGGGGUGGACGGCCACAUUGGGACUGAGAUACGGCCCAGACUCCUACGGGAGGCAGCAGUGGGGAAUAUUGCACGAUGGGCGGAAGCCUGAUGCAGCGACGCCGCGUGGGGGAUGACGGCCUUGGGGUUGUAAACUCCUUUCGACCGCGAGGAAGCCACCUGGUUGGAAGGGUGGUGACGGUAGUGGUAGAAGAAGCACCGGCUAACUACGUG